GGGUUGUGAGGUUAAGCGACUAAGCGUACACGGUGGAUGCCCUGGCAGUCAGAGGCGAUGAAGGACGUGCUAAUCUGCGAUAAGCGUCGGUAAGGUGAUAUGAACCGUUAUAACCGGCGAUUUCCGAAUGGGGAAACCCAGUGUGUUUCGACACACUAUCAUUAACUGAAUCCAUAGGUUAAUGAGGCGAACCGGGGGAACUGAAACAUCUAAGUACCCCGAGGAAAAGAAAUCAACCGAGAUUCCCCCAGUAGCGGCGAGCGAACGGGGAGCAGCCCAGAGCCUGAAUCAGUGUGUGUGUUAGUGGAAGCGUCUGGAAAGGCGCGCGAUACAGGGUGACAGCCCCGUACACAAAAAUGCACAUGCUGUGAGCUCGAUGAGUAGGGCGGGACACGUGGUAUCCUGUCUGAAUAUGGGGGGACCAUCCUCCAAGGCUAAAUACUCCUGACUGACCGAUAGUGAACCAGUACCGUGAGGGAAAGGCGAAAAGAACCCCGGCGAGGGGAGUGAAAAAGAACCUGAAACCGUGUACGUACAAGCAGUGGGAGCCUCUUUUAUGGGGUGACUGCGUACCUUUUGUAUAAUGGGUCAGCGACUUAUAUUCUGUAGCAAGGUUAACCGAAUAGGGGAGCCGAAGGGAAACCGAGUCUUAACUGGGCGUUAAGUUGCAGGGUAUAGACCCGAAACCCGGUGAUCUAGCCAUGGGCAGGUUGAAGGUUGGGUAACACUAACUGGAGGACCGAACCGACUAAUGUUGAAAAAUUAGCGGAUGACUUGUGGCUGGGGGUGAAAGGCCAAUCAAACCGGGAGAUAGCUGGUUCUCCCCGAAAGCUAUUUAGGUAGCGCCUCGUGAAUUCAUCUCCGGGGGUAGAGCACUGUUUCGGCAAGGGGGUCAUCCCGACUUACCAACCCGAUGCAAACUGCGAAUACCGGAGAAUGUUAUCACGGGAGACACACGGCGGGUGCUAACGUCCGUCGUGAAGAGGGAAACAACCCAGACCGCCAGCUAAGGUCCCAAAGUCAUGGUUAAGUGGGAAACGAUGUGGGAAGGCCCAGACAGCCAGGAUGUUGGCUUAGAAGCAGCCAUCAUUUAAAGAAAGCGUAAUAGCUCACUGGUCGAGUCGGCCUGCGCGGAAGAUGUAACGGGGCUAAACCAUGCACCGAAGCUGCGGCAGCGACACUAUGUGUUGUUGGGUAGGGGAGCGUUCUGUAAGCCUGUGAAGGUGUACUGUGAGGUAUGCUGGAGGUAUCAGAAGUGCGAAUGCUGACAUAAGUAACGAUAAAGCGGGUGAAAAGCCCGCUCGCCGGAAGACCAAGGGUUCCUGUCCAACGUUAAUCGGGGCAGGGUGAGUCGACCCCUAAGGCGAGGCCGAAAGGCGUAGUCGAUGGGAAACAGGUUAAUAUUCCUGUACUUGGUGUUACUGCGAAGGGGGGACGGAGAAGGCUAUGUUGGCCGGGCGACGGUUGUCCCGGUUUAAGCGUGUAGGCUGGUUUUCCAGGCAAAUCCGGAAAAUCAAGGCUGAGGCGUGAUGACGAGGCACUACGGUGCUGAAGCAACAAAUGCCCUGCUUCCAGGAAAAGCCUCUAAGCAUCAGGUAACAUCAAAUCGUACCCCAAACCGACACAGGUGGUCAGGUAGAGAAUACCAAGGCGCUUGAGAGAACUCGGGUGAAGGAACUAGGCAAAAUGGUGCCGUAACUUCGGGAGAAGGCACGCUGAUAUGUAGGUGAAGCGACUUGCUCGUGGAGCUGAAAUCAGUCGAAGAUACCAGCUGGCUGCAACUGUUUAUUAAAAACACAGCACUGUGCAAACACGAAAGUGGACGUAUACGGUGUGACGCCUGCCCGGUGCCGGAAGGUUAAUUGAUGGGGUCAGCGCAAGCGAAGCUCUUGAUCGAAGCCCCGGUAAACGGCGGCCGUAACUAUAACGGUCCUAAGGUAGCGAAAUUCCUUGUCGGGUAAGUUCCGACCUGCACGAAUGGCGUAAUGAUGGCCAGGCUGUCUCCACCCGAGACUCAGUGAAAUUGAACUCGCUGUGAAGAUGCAGUGUACCCGCGGCAAGACGGAAAGACCCCGUGAACCUUUACUAUAGCUUGACACUGAACAUUGAGCCUUGAUGUGUAGGAUAGGUGGGAGGCUUUGAAGUGUGGACGCCAGUCUGCAUGGAGCCGACCUUGAAAUACCACCCUUUAAUGUUUGAUGUUCUAACGUAGACCCCUAAUCGGGGUUGCGGACAGUGUCUGGUGGGUAGUUUGACUGGGGCGGUCUCCUCCUAAAGAGUAACGGAGGAGCACGAAGGUUGGCUAAUCCUGGUCGGACAUCAGGAGGUUAGUGCAAUGGCAUAAGCCAGCUUGACUGCGAGCGUGACGGCGCGAGCAGGUGCGAAAGCAGGUCAUAGUGAUCCGGUGGUUCUGAAUGGAAGGGCCAUCGCUCAACGGAUAAAAGGUACUCCGGGGAUAACAGGCUGAUACCGCCCAAGAGUUCAUAUCGACGGCGGUGUUUGGCACCUCGAUGUCGGCUCAUCACAUCCUGGGGCUGAAGUAGGUCCCAAGGGUAUGGCUGUUCGCCAUUUAAAGUGGUACGCGAGCUGGGUUUAGAACGUCGUGAGACAGUUCGGUCCCUAUCUGCCGUGGGCGCUGGAGAACUGAGGGGGGCUGCUCCUAGUACGAGAGGACCGGAGUGGACGCAUCACUGGUGUUCGGGUUGUCAUGCCAAUGGCACUGCCCGGUAGCUAAAUGCGGAAGAGAUAAGUGCUGAAAGCAUCUAAGCACGAAACUUGCCCCGAGAUGAGUUCUCCCUGACUCCUUGAGAGUCCUGAAGGAACGUUGAAGACGACGACGUUGAUAGGCCGGGUGUGUAAGCGCAGCGAUGCGUUGAGCUAACCGGUACUAAUGAACCGUGAGGCUUAACCUUACAACGCCGAAG
rnacentral:rRNA from 1 species